rnacentral:rRNA from 1 species
UACAGAGGUCUCAAGCGUUGUUCGGAUUCAUUGGGCGUAAAGCGUGCGUAGGUGGUUUGUUAAGUCCGUUGUGAAAGCCCUGGGCUCAACCUGGGAAUGGCAGUGGAUACUGGCGAGCUAGAGUGCGGUAGAGGGUAGUGGAAUUCCCGGUGUAGCAGUGAAAUGCGUAGAGAUCGGGAGGAACACCAGUGGCGAAGGCGGCUACCUGGACCAGCACUGACACUGAGGCACGAAAGCGUGGGGAGCAAACAGG